UACAUAGGGAGCAAGCGUUAUCCGGAUUUAUUGGGUGUAAAGGGUGCGUAGACGGAGAAGCAAGUUGGUUGUGAAAUCCCUCGGCUUAACUGAGGAACUGCAACCAAAACUACUUCCCUUGAGUGUUGGAGAGGAAAGUGGAAUUCCUAGUGUAGCGGUGAAAUGCGUAGAUAUUAGGAGGAACACCAGUGGCGAAGGCGACUUUCUGGACAAUUACUGACGUUGAGGCACGAAAGUGUGGGGAG
rnacentral:rRNA from 1 species